rnacentral:rRNA from 1 species
CAGUCGCCACGGUAAUACGUAGGGUGCAAGCGUUGUCCGGAAUUAUUGGGCGUAAAGAGCUCGUAGGCGGUUUGUCGCGUCUGCUGUGAAAACUGGAGGCUCAACCUCCAGCCUGCAGUGGGUACGGGCAGACUAGAGUGCGGUAGGGGAGAUUGGAAUUCCUGGUGUAGCGGUGGAAUGCGCAGAUAUCAGGAGGAACACCGAUGGCGAAGGCAGAUCUCUGGGCCGUAACUGACGCUGAGGAGCGAAAGCGUGGGGAGCGAACAGGAUUAGAUACCCGGGUAGUCCCUGUCUCUUAUAC